GAGAGCACCACGGUCUGCCCCCCAUCGACCCACUCCCAGCCGGGUGGUCCUCCCCCCGAACGCAGGUUCCAGCUGUGGCUGCCCUGUGUCGCCCUCUCUGGCGGCAGUCAGUGCUGCCUGGUCCUGCUGGUCGGGCAGUAGUCCCCCCAGCUCACCACAGCCUGGCCCGCCCAAAGCCCAGGACCAGGACACUAGUGCGCACCGUCAUCCCGCUGUACCUCUCUCGGAGGGCGAUCACCCCCCUCACC
rnacentral:lncRNA from 1 species